CGUUAGAGUUCUCUUCUCAGUCGACAUUGAAAGAAUUUGUUGCAGCAUGUGCUUAAGACCGUAAAUCAGGACCCAUCACUGUUUCCUCAAGAGUGGAAUCUGGAGAGAAGUGAGUGCACUGUCGGCGAGUUUCCACCUUUCUGCAAAUGUUUUAUCUGUCUAAGAUGCUGUUUAUUUUAUGACAAUACAAGUGGUUUGUUUCUGUAUAGAGCUUUUUUUUAUUUUGACAACCAUUAAAGGAGACUUUAAGACCCCUCAA